CUAGCUCUCUUCAACACAAUGAGCUCUGAUAAGUUCCUGAUCUUUAACUUUACUGUGGAAGUUUUUCCUCUAAUACAACUUACAAAUGCCUAUUGUGUUGAUUAUUUGAUAGUUAUGGCAGAUUUGAAGUGUUGAAUGAACUUAGGUCGGUGAGUCAGCAGUUGAAAAAAAGAAAGAGGGGGAAAGGCGGGAAUAUUAAACUCUGAGAAAUCCAUUGAGUUGAACAGCCAUAGUUUGAUUGAACUUGGUUUAGAAAGUCAUAGGUUUGAAUGAAAAUAACCGGGAAUCUGUGGGGGUGGGGCUAAGCAACAUCAACCGCAUGCAUGAAAUUGGAACUUCUGUUUGCUGAGUCAAAUGAGCCAGCUCUGAAGAAAUAUACCUUAAUAACGCAGAGAAACUCGAUUCUCGUGCAAAAAUAAGAAAUCAGGGCUGCACUGAAGCGCAAGAAGACUGUUGGCAAUGGAAUUACUAAGGACCUCAACAUCAACCGUCAAAUGGAUUUAGGAAACUCCUACUCUCUAUGAGGAAACUUCAUGGCAAUUGAGCCACAGACACAGGCAGUCUUUGGCUGGUAAGUUUAACAAUUUUAAUCUUCAGAAGAUAAUGUAACAUGUGCAUCCCGGUUGAACUGAAGCUCAAAAGGAUAGACUUUAAAAAAAAUCUCUGAUGUGGUGGGCUCACUGUGGCCUAACACACUAGUCAUGUUGCUUGCAAAAUAUGAAAUGUUUAAUGUACUGGUGUAAUCUCGUGUCAUGAACGAAAUGGUUAUUGCUUAUUUCAAAGGGUAGGUUAUCCACAUUUCACAAGUUUGUUGUUCUAAACGGCGAAUCAUCAGAGAUUGCUAUGCUAGUUCUAUGGUUGUGUCCGAACACAGCAGCGUUGCGAAAGGGGACCUCGUCCUUUUUUACGCAUCAUUUUUACGCAGCAUUAGAACUAGAAAGUCGCCCUGUAGAAUUUUGUUCAGACUACUCUAAAAGGAAAUGUCUGUGUAUAAUCUCGGCUGUUUAUUUACUUCAUUUUAAUCGAAGUCAAACUCAUGUAGGCCUACUUCUGAAGGACAUUGUUGGCUGUAUUUCAAAGGUGUCAGUUAGCCAUUGCAGCAGCAUGCCUCUUGAAGGGAUGUUUUCAGCGCGAUGCUGCUAUAUCACAUUCGGUAGAUGACAUUAGUCAAGGGGAAAAUCAUGUAUAAACCUAGUAAUACAAGAGAAAUAUUGUGUUUUAACUACAGGGUGCAAAAUCAUGCUUCUACCAACGGAUGAUGGGGCUGACGAUGGAGUUGACGGGAACAUUCUCACAGAAGUGGAAUUUAUGAGGAUUCUGAACCACUCAUUGAGGCCGUGGAGUGUGUUGUUUAAUGAGUAAUACAGCUAACUGCAGUGUUCCACAAGACUGUUACCACAGACCUUCAUGGGACCUUUACAUUCUUUCUGGGUUGGCUUGAGGUUCUUCGUUGGAGAGCAAAUGAAAACAGGUCCAUGAUGACUCACUUGACGAGGUAAUGGCUGGCAUGGAUCUGGGACUGCUUAUCGGACACGAAGGUGUUCUCGAAGAUGCUUUUCCGUCUGAGGUCUUCCAUUUGGCAGUGGUGGUAGAGAAAUAAAUCGUUCUGCGCAACCUACAUGACAUCCCUACUGGCUUCGCCAUGCUGCUGGGCACCAUCUACUGCCUUAAUUUGGAGUACCCCAAAAUGUUGAGGUACACCUUCGAGUUCCUGCAGAAAGCCAUCAUGGGCAUUCAAGCUGAGAAAUGCUUUGCAAGAGUGCAUGGGCUCAGAAAUAAACUUCUGCCGUACCACAUGUAAGGUUAACGUGAUGUGUGAACAUUGACAGCAGGUUAUGCUCACCAUUGAGUACUUCACUGGAAAAGUGAUGGCAGAGGCCAAUAUUGCAGUAUAACAGAAGAAAACUUUUGUUUUUGAGUACCAUAAAGACACCAUGCCACGCCAGAGUUUUCCUGGACUUUUUAAAAAAAAGUGGUUUGUGUCCAUUUGAGUGUCACCCCUUUGACAGAACUGCAUCUGUGACCUUCCCAAAAGAACUCACCGUUCUCCAUCUUGAGACACACACACACAAAGUGACUGCAUUACCAAUUAUUUUGCUUAUCUCAAGACUCAUUUAAGGAGCAAGGAAGUUAUAUUGGUGCAAAGGAACAAUACUACAAGAGCAGAGUUUUUUUUCUUUUUAAGGGGUGUUUCAUGCACCUCAUUCAGUAGUCAGCAGGAACAUGCAUGUUUCUUCUGGUGAAAUUGAGCUGCCCAAUGUUGAUUGGUUAUGAUGAUUUCCUGUCUGAAGUCUUGUUGUGGAGGCACAAAUCGUGCACAACCUACACAACGCUUCUACUGGCAUUGUAAUGCUGCUGGGCACCAUCUACUGCUUUAAGUUGCCUUGAGUUUUUGCAGAAAGCCGUAAUGGCCGUUCAAGCUGAGAAAUGCUCUGCAAGAGUGCAUGCACAUUUAGAUUAAAGCGAACAUGUUGUAUAAACAUUGAAGUUAAAUUUCACCAGAAGAAACCUGAAGUGUGCUCACUUUUGCACCACCCAAAAUUUCACAACUUUUCUUUUGUUAUCUCAACAAAUGUUGUAUUUAAUGACUUGAAGCAUGUUUUGGAAGUAAUGUUGUUGAAAAUAUUGGUAAAAAAAUAAUUCAUCAAAAGGGUGUUAUCAUGCACCAUAUAUUGGGCAAGAAUCUUGUCACUACAUGUGAAAUUCAUUAAUGCAUACAAAGGAGGCAGAUGCCAAUGUUGUGGUUCUUACAAAAAGCCAUAAUGGGACUUGCAGCUGAGAAGGGCUCAAACAAACAGUUGAGGGAAGUCUUCAUGUUGUAUGGACAUGACUGACCAGUGUUUUUUUUUCACUAUGGCAAAUGUUUUUUGGUUUCACGCCGCCGCCAGAGUUUUCCUGGACUUUUGUUUUAACAUUGUUUGUGUCCAUUUCAGUGUGAAAACUUUAACUGACCCUCAACAGUGACUGCUUAAAACUCCCCCCCCAAAAAAGUGCUCGCCAUCCUCCAUGUUGACACAUACACAGACACACACACACACAAAUGCACGUGUGCACUCUCAUUAUGAACUUUGAAGCAAUGUAUGGUAGCAAUAGAGACAAUUGUCAACUGUGUGAAUGUUUCCAGUAAAAAAAACUAAACAUUUCUGAAUAGAUGCAAUGCUUCAGUGUUUUCUUUGAUAUUGUGUUUGUGAUUAACAUUAUGGUGAAUUAACUCUUGCUUUAGGUGUGGUCUAGUUGUAAUGUCUAUUGAUUCCAUCACUUUGUUAAAUUGCCAAUGGUUAAAAAGCUAAAACAACUAUGACUUCUUAAAACAUGAAAUGGAGACGACAACAAUAAUGUAUUUCAAUCAACUUUGUUGAAUUUAUUUUGGGAGUUGAGACAAAUGUACAGCAUAAAUUGAUUCUACUUGCAAACAUAAGGCAGCAGGGGAACUUGGUUUUGAAAGUCAACAGACUUUUAAUGUUAAGUUGGCUUGGCAUCGGAUAAAAAGUUAAGGGAGCAGGAGAAUUUACUUUUGAAAGUUUAACAGACUUGUAAUGUUAAGUCGGCUUGGCAAGGCAUAAAAAGUUAAGGCAGCAGGAGAGCUUACUUUUGAAAGUUUAACAGACUUGUAUUGUUAAGUCGGCUUGGAAAGGGAU